GUUUCUCUUGGACUCGAAAAAUUGAGUUUUACACUUUUAAGAAAGACUUUAUCCAUUAAUUACAGUCGAGAAGUAUAAUGGACUCUGCGUAAUCAGUACUGUAUAAACUGUCCGGAAAUCAUACCAACGCCCCACCUCACAUCCGGUUGUUUAUUUAGUUAUAAAAUUUUAAAGUAAAUUUUUUUAUUUACGUUUCGAGAUUCGGAAUAGGAACCAAACUGCAAUUAUUACUUCCGUUAAUGGACACUAAACACACUAUUCGUCAUUGCAUUAUAAAGGUUAUCAAUUAUUCUCAAUUGAGUAUCGGCGGAGACGGAAUUAGCCCAUUUCAUUUGCUGCUUUUAAACAGUGGUACGAUUAAGUUAACACUACGAUGUGUCAUUUCCAUCAUUCAUGAUACAAAAGCAGUUGAACUGACAUACCACCUGUCUAGUCCCACCGGCUUCUGUUCACCUAAGCAUAUUAUUCACCUCUUAGUCAUUACUCUCCCCCUUCCAAAUCGAGUGAACCUUUCCAGUCUCGUAUGAAUAACUGAACGGAAGUUAGAAAGACGACAGAAAUUGGGGGUAGAUAUACGUCACAGAGAGAGAGAACUAUGCUUCUCCCCCUCACGGAAUGGUUGGUCCAUUGAGAAAAGUCUGAGCGUUGGGUGAAGUUGACUUACUCAGCCGGACAGUCGGUGAAAUUGUUUGUCAAAAUACGGAUUUGCCGUCAUAUAAAACAAGGUAAAAUUUAUAUCCAUCAUUUUUUUUUCUAUUCCACUUACAAAAAUUCAAUCUUGUUUCUGUCUUUUUUUUUUGUUUUUUUAUGUUCUGGAUCGUGAUUGAUUUUCUUUCUACUGUUUUCUAUAUAAGCAACGUUUUCAAAACAUGUUUACAGUACUUCUAUUAACAGUGUUUAUGAUGAUUUAUAUAAACGAAUAUGUUUGUUUCUUGUUUUAAAUAAAGC
rnacentral:lncRNA from 1 species